UACGUAGGUGGCAAGCGUUGUUCGGAAUUAUUGGGCGUAAAGGGCGCGUAGGCGGUUUGUUAAGUCGGCUGUGAAAGCCUGGGGCUCAACCCCAGAGGGUCGGCCGAUACUGGCAAACUAGAGUACGGAAGAGGUAGCUGGAAUUCCCAGUGUAGAGGUGAAAUUCGUAGAUAUUGGGAAGAACACCGAUGGCGAAGGCAGCCAUCUGGACCGACACUGACGCUGAGGCGCGAAAGCGUGGGGAGCAAACAGG
rnacentral:rRNA from 1 species